AUACGGAGGGUGCAAGCGUUACUCGGAAUCACAGGGCGUAAAGCGCGCGCAGGCGGCUUGAUAAGUUGGAUGUGAAAGCCUACGGCUCAACCGUAGAACUGCAUCCAAAACUAUUUAGCUAGAGUGUGGGAGAGGAAGAUGGAAUUAGUUGUGUAGGGGUAAAAUCCGUAGAGAUAACUAGGAAUACCAAAAGCGAAGGCAAUCUUCUGGAACACUACUGACGCUGAGGCGCGAAAGCGUGGGGAGCAAACAGGAUUAGAAACCCCAGUAGUCC
rnacentral:rRNA from 1 species